rnacentral:tRNA from 1 species
UGGGAUGUGGCUCAGUGGUGCAGCACUUGCCUAUCAUGCAUGGAACCCUGGGUUCAAAUUCCCAGUACUGCAA